AGUGAACGCUGGCGGCAGGCCUAACACAUGCAAGUCGAACGGCAGCACAGUGGAGCUUGCUCCAUGGGUGGCGAGUGGCGGACGGGUGAGGAAUACAUCGGAAUCUGCCCAGUCGUGGGGGAUAACAUAGGGAAACUUAUGCUAAUACCGCAUACGACCUACGGGUGAAAGCGGGGGAUCGCAAGACCUCGCGCGAUUGGAUGAGCCGAUGUCCGAUUAGCUAGUUGGCGGGGUAAUGGCCCACCAAGGCGACGAUCGGUAGCUGGUCUGAGAGGAGGAUCAGCCACACUGGGACUGAGACACGGUCCAGACUCCUACGGGAGGCAGCAGUGGGGAAUAUUGGACAAUGGGUGCAAGCCUGAUCCAGCCAUGCCGCGUGGGUGAAGAAGGCCUUCGGGUUGUAAAGCCCUUUUGUCCGGAAAGAAACGCCUCGGAUUAAUACUCUGGGGUAAUGACGGUACCGGAAGAAUAAGCACCGGCUAACUUCGUGCCAGCCGCCGCGGUAAAAC
rnacentral:rRNA from 1 species